rnacentral:rRNA from 1 species
UAUUGCUCUUCAACGAGGAAUCCCUAGUAAGCGCAAGUCAUCAGCUUGCGUUGAUUACGUCCCUGCCCUUUGUACACACCGCCCGUCGCUACUACCGAUUGGAUGGCUCAGUGAGACCUCCGGACUGGCCGAGAGAGGUGGGAAACUACCCCUCAUGGCCGGAAAGCUAUUCAAACUCGGUCAUCUAGAGGAAGUAAAAGU